UAUAGCUCAGCGGUAGAGCACUUUCCUAGCAUGCAUGAGGCUCUGGGUUCAAUCCCCAGUA
rnacentral:tRNA from 1 species